ACAGAGUGGAGCUCCCAAUGGCGCCAGCAUGGCUGAGGAUGACGCUGUGACUGCCAAAAGCCUGUCUGUGUUGGGUGGGAUGUACGGCACCGCUCCGUAGUCCACCACCUGCCCGGAGACCCAGUGAACCCCUCAGCAGGCGUCAGGGAGGAGGCGGUCACCAGGUGCGCUGUGACCGGAGCAGAGACUGAGCAGUGCAUGCUGGGAGCCCACCAGGAGGGCUCUGCAGUCCGGCCAGGAGACCCCAGGGCGGGACCAGGGGGGUCGGUUCCGCUGGCCUUUAGAGAGGUUCAGAGGGCCAGACUGGG
ensembl:lncRNA